AUUCCGAGCUGUUCUUUUGGUACUGGUUCUUUACUGACCGCUAGAUGCCACUGACUUCAAUUGAUUUUGUCAUUGAGUACAGACUGCAUCAUAAAACAUGGCGAAACAAAUUGUUGCUAUUUUAUACUUAUUUUUCUGUGAUUCCAAAUACCGAAUUGAACUUCGUUUGUAAAGUCUGUCAGUCAUUCCAACAAGUUGACUUAGUGCUCAGUCGCUUUCCAUCCAUUGGAUCCUUAUGCUGUCAAAAGCCUGAAACUCACAUUUGAAGCCCACAUACAGUGCAACUAGACAAAUGUGCCAAGAUAAGGUAUUCUUUCUCAUGGACCAUAGGAUCUUUUCCGAAUCUUGUGAUUUUGAUAGUGUAACCUGUGACUGCAUAUUUGUUAUUACGACCGCUUCUACAUCCAUUUAGAAGGCAACCCAGCUGAGAGAUAGAGUUCCAGUUUCAGUGACAUGAAGAGUGUGAAGUGAAUAGUCUGCCAUGCACUUGUACAUUUACCAGAUCUGCUUGAUGAAAGUGAAAUGCCUUACUAAAUUCAUCACCCGUAUGAUAAGCAUCAGGAAAUUUAUCUCAACAUAUGGAUUAUUGCUGUUGGUUGCUAUGGAUUCCAAUUUUACGGUUUUUUCAUCAUGAACAUUUCAGUGUGCUUCUUAGAAAAAAGCUCGCGCAGUUUCUUUAUGGUAUCGAGUGGUCCUGGCACGG
rnacentral:lncRNA from 1 species